CCUACGGGAGGCAGCAGUGAGGAAUCUUCCACAAUGGACGAAAGUCUGAUGGAGCGACACCGCGUGAAGGAUGAAGGCCUAACGGUUGUAAACUUCUUUUCUGAAGGAGCAUAAUGAGAGUACUUCA
rnacentral:rRNA from 1 species